UUCAUAUGGGACCAGGCAGCGGAUCUCCCUGAAUAUGUAUCAGUGGCAGACGGAGGUUGGUACAGUCAACCAGGACACCGGGAUGAAAGAUCCAGAAGACCAGGAGAAAAACCAUGACCAGGAGAAGAAAGCCCUGCAAGACACCUUUAUGCUUGGCUUAAAAGAAGGAAGAUCAAUUGCGUGCACAGGUAGAAAGAAGAAAACCGAGACACACCUCGCCUGUUGCCAGAGCGAUAAAAUUUUCCACUGUCUUGGGCACAACUUUUCCAAAGAGGCCAAUCACAAUUCUGCCAACAUCUUUAUCUCCAAUCCUCACGUCGAAGAAGACCUGCGUGUCGAUGAAAGGCCAAGCAGAAGGUUAUAAGGAGGACGAGCCAUGAUGCAAGUGCCUGACCCUGCACAGAAUCCAUGUGGCAUCUGCUGGAAAAUGCCACCACUACCAACUGAGUGGAUUUUGAGACCAGUGAGCUGAAGCCCUGACCUCAGGCUCCAUGGCUGGGCAGGAGGCUGAGGUGGUAGCUGACAGCAGGAUUCAUGGACAAGGUGGGUGCCAUGAAGGGGCCUUGGGUGGGGGCAGCACUUUACACCUCUCAUAUUUACA